UUCUCUGUAAACAGGCGCCAUGUUGAGUAUUACAAACUUUCCUGUUCACAUUUGAACCAGCGACCUGUCUUCUCCCUUAAUAUCUCAGCCUUCAAGCAGUUAGCUGCCUGACCAGAUAAUCUUAACUAAACGCGUACUGUGUCCUAUUACGACUUUCUUUUUGUUGUUUUAGGAGAACAGAGUGCCUGCCCUGGGUGAUGACCCCAGUGUAUUCCACUUCUCGAUGAGCAUCCAGCUGAAACCAGUGCUCCUUCUCCUCACUGUCUGCACACCAGCCCCCUCCGUAAACAUCAUCCUCGUCAUCUGAGCUCUGGAAAAACAGAACAAUAUGUAAAUAUGUAAUAGAAAUAGCAACAAAACACUGCAGCGAUGACUCUGACUAAAUGACUCCAGCUUGAGAACUGCCUUUUGGGAGCAGAAGACCAUUUGCAGUGUGGACAGGAUGGAGUGGGAGCCAGCAGCGAUGGCCUCUUAAAACAACCUAACACAGAGACUCAGUCAGGGCCCACAAAAUUAACACAGGUCUCCCUCCAGUUGGACAGGAAAGAGGUUGUGGGGGGAAGCACAGCUCAGUACUGACAUUUACUGCAGUUUGCUCAGGCGGCUUAACUAUAACCUUUAAAAAAAAGCACGUGUCUCAAAUACCUCAUAAAAUAUACAUCAUAUACAGCCUAUGUUCACCACAGUCAUUGUUCUUUCUCCUUUUU